CUUGCACUGUUGAACAGUUGUGGGGACAACAAAACUCUGAAACACCAAGAACCGAAUCGCAGAAAAGAAUGGCAGCUUCAUUGUCCGCGGUUUCAUGUUCACUGCCACAUUGGGUGUCAAUUCGAAGCGUAGCAACUGCUCGUGGCCCAUCAGCUUCUCUGGCACUCAUCACUGGUUCAUAUCCAAGAAGCAAUUUGUCGGUGAGUAUGAUGAGAAACUCUACAGCUCGCUCAGGACUGAUUGACUGCUCCUUUCUCUCUUCUUCUCUCGCAUUCCCUUCUUCGUUCUCAGGUUUAUCUUUGGGAUUAGAUUUGAACUCUAAUUGGGUAAGAAAAGAGAGAGGCAAUGGCCUAGUAGUCAGAGCUGGAAAGGCUGCUCUUUGUCAAACCAAGAGGAACAGGUCUCGGAAGUCUCUGGCCCGGACUCAUGGUUUCCGUCGACAGAUGAGAACCACCAGUGGAAGGGCAGUGUUGAAACGUCGACGUGCCAAGGGUAGAUGGGUCCUUUGCACCAAGUCCAACCCUAAUUCAGGAAAACGUCAUCUUUAAAUUAGUCUGGGUUAACAGCAAGAUGCAACUGCAGUGACAUUUUCAUACUUGAAUGACUCUGUUCUGGAUGCACUUGGAUCAGAAGCCAUCCUGUACCUGUCAUGCGAGGCACAAUUUCUUCAUGAGUGAGGUCUAUAUAAUCAAUGAUGCCUAGCUUUUAAGGCUUAUUCUCAGCUUUGUUUAUAAUGACAGGACUUAGCAUACAGCUUCAGCUACUCAAGCCUAUGCAGGGACCCAUGCUCACCUCAAGUGAUGAAGAUGUUGAGGAAGGCUCUAUUGGAUUUUCAGUGGUAGGAGUUGAAAGAAUAAUGGCUAAUAGACAAAACGCAGCGCGAUAAAUAUGGGUUAAUGAAACGGUGCGUAUAAAGAAAUGCACAGGGAUGAAUUUCGGCGUCUCUUUCUAAGGCUAUGUCGAACUGAUGUCGAACUAAAAAAACACCUAACUGAUGCCGAAUUGGAAAAAAUCGAAGUGGUGCUGAAUUGGGAAACACCGAAUUGAUAUCGAACUAAAAAGUCAUGCCUUCCACAUACAUCAGAUUACGAAAAAGAAUUUAAGCGGGAAACAAAUAGUUAAUUAUGAAAGUAGUUAGCACUUUGUUGAGUAGAACCUCUAGAUCAUUCUAGUAGCUUCUGCUUUUAUAUAUAUAAGUUAACACAAAGCAAGCAAUAUAUAUGAAUUUUUUCUCUCUUCUAUUUUCUAUUAUAGUUAUUACAUUCUAUUCAUGGUAUCAGAGCUUGAUAAUCAAGUUUCUGUAGUAGUUAUGGCUAGUACCAGUAAUGUGACCCCAACUAUGAAUCAGAAGGGCCACCUCACUCUGCAUAAUUCUGAU